rnacentral:rRNA from 1 species
GAUGAACGCUGGCGGCGUGCCUAAUACAUGCAAGUCGAGCGCACGGACGAGAAGCUUGCUUCUCUGAUGUUAGCGGCGGACGGGUGAGUAACACGUGGAGAACCUACCUAUAAGACUGGGAUAACUUCGGGAAACCGGAGCUAAUACCGGAUAAUAUCUUGAACCGCAUGGUUCAAAAGUGAAAGAUGGUCUUGCUGUAACUUAUAGAUAGAUCCGCUCUUCAUUAGCUAGUUGGUAAGGUAACGCCUUACCAAGGCAACGAUCAAUAGCCGACCUGAGAGGGUGACCGCCACCACUGGAACUGGGACACGGUCCAGCCUCCUACGGGAGGCAGCAGAAGGGAAUCUUCGGCAUUGGGCGAAAGCCUGACGGAGCAACGCGGCGUGAGUGAUGAAGGUCUUCGGAUCGUAAAACUCUGUUAUUGGGGAAGAACAUAUGUGUAAGUAACAGUGCACAUCUUGACGGUAACUAAUCAGAAAGGCACGGCUAACUACGUG